rnacentral:rRNA from 1 species
ACGUAGGGAGCAAGCGUUGUUCGGAUUUACUGGGCGUAAAGGGCGCGUAGGCGGCUUUGCAAGUGACGGGUGAAAGCCCUCGGCUUAACCGAGGAACUGCCUGUCAGACUGUGAGGCUUGAGACCAGGAGAGGUGAGUGGAAUUCCCAGUGUAGCGGUGAAAUGCGUAGAUAUUGGGAGGAACACCAGUGGCGAAGGCGGCUCACUGGACUGGUACUGACGCUGAGGCGCGAAAGCGUGGGGAGCAAACAGGA